CGAUUUCUCGACAUUGGUGCUCACUACGGGGACAAGCUGAAGCUCCCCAUUACAAAGCACAACAUAUGAAAAUCAAUAUGCGAAGCCCUGCACGAAUGCAUGAAGCUACAGGGCAAUUUCUGCCCCCUCACCCGUGA